GAUGAACGCUGGCGGCGUGCUUAACACAUGCAAGUCGAACGAAGCAUUUAAGACAGAUUCCUUCGGUUUGAAGUCUUUUAUGACUGAGUGGCGGACGGGUGAGUAACGCGUGGGUAACCUGCCUCAUACAGGGGGAUAGCAGCUGGAAACGGCUGUUAAUACCGCAUAAGCGCACAGUACCACAUGGUACAGUGUGAAAAACUCCGGUGGUAUGAGAUGGACCCGCGUCUGAUUAGCUUGUUGGCGGGGUAACGGCCCACCAAGGCGACGAUCAGUAGCCGACCUGAGAGGGUGACCGGCCACAGUGGGACUGAGACACGGCCCAGACUCCUACGGGAGGCAGCAGUGGGGAAUAUUGCACAAUGGAGGAAACUCUGAUGCAGCGACGCCGCGUGAGUGAAGAAGUAGUUCGCUAUGUAAAGCUCUAUCAGCAGGGAAGAUAGUGACGGUACCUGACUAAGAAGCUCCGGCUAAAUACGUG
rnacentral:rRNA from 1 species